rnacentral:tRNA from 1 species
GACAGUUUGGCCGAGUGGUCUAAGGCGCUGGCUUUAGGCGCCAGUCCGUAAGGACGUGGGUUCGAACCCCACAGCUGUCA